UCAACUCAACGCCGCCUGCACUGUAUCCCUUUCUCUCUCUCAUUCACUCAUACUGUACUUAUGCGCCCUUCAACGGCCGAAAACCUAGCUUCGCUUUUCCGGUCGGCCGCUACACUCGCCGUUGGACGUUCCGAAACUUCUGCUGCCUCCGCCGCCAAGAAGAAGCCGCCCCGAUCAGCCGACGCCGCCGCUUCUAAGAAGAAGAAGAAGACUUCCACCUCCUCAUCAUCGGCCGAGGAUGCCGCCUUAAAGGAGUACGUAUCAUCCAUCAAGUCUUCGUCCUCGUCCUCAUCUGCAGCUGUCUACCGCUCGGCCAAAUGCCUUCUCAAGCACUUCAAAGCGCCGCCGUCUUCGAGAUUUUCUACUCCGAAUUCCUCGCUACAUGCUAUCGUCAGUGACAGCUUGAACUCUGGCUGCGAUGAUGGAAAUGAUGAAUCGGCAAAGCAACUGGCGGCCCAUGCAUCCAGUAUAUUGUAUGAUGAGAUGGACUUGGAUUGGGACGACGAGUACCAGGACGAGCACUCCAUGGGGACUGUGAUGGACUUCCCAUGGUUGUCAAGAAUGUCAAAUAUCAAUAUAUCAUUGCGGAGGAAAGAAGUCUCACGAGAGAGGAAGCAGAAGUGGGUUUUUAAGAACGCACAAACUAGUCGCUUUGGCCGCCUAGUCAAAAUGUGUGCCAGGAAGCUGGGACCAGAUGCUACCAUUGAAGUAUUUGGGAAAUUGGGACGAGAAACUGGCUUGAAAGAAUAUAAUGCAUUAAUUAAGGUUUGCAUAGAGACGGCAAGGGAUACUACAGAUGAAGAUGUUUCAUUAGAGCAGAUUUAUAAGGCCUAUCAAAUUCUUAAGUUGGUAAGGGAAAACGGUUUUAAUAUCGAAGAAGAAACAUAUGGACAGUUUCUGAUGUAUCUAAUUGAUUUUGGUAUGGUUGAAGAGUUCUUUUUCUUCCAUGAACUAAUCAAACAUGAGAAUCCUGAUUCACUUCCACGCUUAGCUUAUUAUGAAAUGCUGCUAUGGAUAAGAGUCAAUAAUGAAGAAAAAAUACAAGAACAUUGUCAUUCUAUUGUGGCUGAUGAUGCUGAAGAGAAAUCUUAUCUUCGAGAAUGCUUGCUGCCGGCAUUGGCUGAAGGUGAUCGCAAGCAAGAGUUUUUGAUGCUACUGGAAACUCUCGACAUAACUAAGGUUACGUCAGUUGCAUCUUUAGAGAGUAUCUUCAGGUCUUUGGGGAAGCUUUCGCUGGAACUUUAUGCAGAAAGACUUCUGCUGGUUCUGAAAAGAAGUGAUACCAGAGCUGGAAACAUCUCAAACUCCAUCUGCGAAUAUGCACUUAACCUACCUAAUUUAGCGGUUGAAGAUAUCAUCAUGAGAUUCCAAACAUUACACAAUAAGUUAGAGGUGUUGCCCACUUCAGUACAAUAUGAGAAGCUCGUUAGAUACUGUUGUGAAUUCCUCAAGGUACAUGAGGCGCUCUACGUAGUUGCCGAGGCAUUCAAAUCUGGUGUUGCUUUAUCGAUAGAGAUAUUUCAUUCAAUAUUAGAUGCUUGUGACCAGAGCUGCGAAUUUAAUCUGGUUCAUCAAAUCAAUUCAACAAUAUCUUGCUACAAUGUGAAACCAAAUAAUGAGACCGUCAGGAGGAUGAUACUUCUAUGCGUGAAGAUGAAAGAUUUUGUAGGAGCAUAUGGAUUGAUCAAUGAUCUGGAAAGAAUGAACUUGACGCCAACAGCUAGCAUGUACAACUGUAUACUGUCUGGAUAUUUCCGUGAGAAAGACAUUCAGAGUGCUAGGAAUGUUCUCAAACAGAUGGCAGAUGCAGACGUGAAACCUGACACUCUGACUUACAGCUGUCUCAUAGCAAACAGCCACUGUGAGAAGGAUAUAAUUAAGUUCUGUAAUGACAUGAGGAACUCGGGAGUUCAACCCACAAAACAGGUUUUCAUGGCCCUUAUAAAUGCUUAUGCUUCCUGUGGACUAUUUGAAAAGGCUAAACAGGUAAUCUUGGAUAAACGAAUACCAGUAAAGUACUUGAAUGACAUCAAGAGUGUGCUCAUUGGAGCUCUUGCUUCAAAUGGGCAGUUAUCUGGUGCUCUUGAAUUAUAUGAAGAAAUCAAGGCAGCCAAGUCCGAUCUAGAUCCCAAAGCUAUUAAAAGCCUUAUUGAACAUUUUCAAUCUGAAGGAGAAUUGAAUAAAUCGCUUCAGUUGCUUGAGGAAUUAAACAACUCACCUUACUGGAUUCAUGCCUGCUUCAGCAUCAUCUCAUAUUGUGUUCAACAUGAGAAUUUGAGAUCGACCGUUGAUUUACUCAAGAAACUGAAGAAUAAGUUCAUAAAUGCUGAAGUUGACCCAGAAACGCUGUUUGAUGAGGUAUUCUGCUUAUAUGCUGAGAAAGAGUCAACAGGCAUGCAGUUUGGCCUCGAUUUACUUCAAGCUGUCAAAGAAGAACUUGGUGUUCAACUUUCCCGGAAAAGUCUCGAUUUUCUCCUUAGCGCUUGCGUGAAUGCAAAGGAUUCCAAGGCUUCAUUUGUGAUUUGGAAAGAAUAUGAGACAGCUUGCCUGCCUUACAAUGUUUUAAGUUACUUAAGGAUGUAUCAGGCUCUCUUAGCUUCAGGAGAUAGACAAUCUGCAGCAAAAAUACUAAGUAAGAUGCCGAAAGACGAUCCCCAUGUGCGUUGUGUCGCGAAAGCAUGCGAAAACACGUAUAUCAAAUCCCCAGCUGUUGAAAAAAAGAAAAGAAAGGCACUGGUGGCAACGCUGGGACUAUUAGAUGGGUUAGAAGCCUAAACUGAGUAAUGAAAGACACAAACAUCAUUUGGUAUUGGUGGUGUAAACUUGUGACGGGGUAUCCUUUCUUGUAUGCCAAAUGUUUGUAUCAGAGGCUUUCUUCUAAUCCCACCUUGCUCUGAUCUUUAAUUUUGUCCUACAGUUAGCCAAAUAUUCUACCAUUCGCUGCUUGUAAUCGGCAAGUUUCAGAUUGUUUCCCAGAUUAGUAAGGCGUUGAGUAUAAUUUUCUUGCAGAUUCAAAUCCUGCUCUAGUCAGAACGAAUUAGCAACGAGAAUUGCCUGUCUGCAGCGCGCCUUCGCCUGUUCCAGCCUCUCAUUCAUAGUUUCUUCUUUCACAGCAGCUUUAACCAUAGCCAAAUCCAUUU